rnacentral:lncRNA from 1 species
GAAUAUUUGAAGAGUGAAAAUUAUAGGUUAGCAAGUGUCGGCUGUCACCCUUUACGAUUCAGUAUUGGCGUGUACUCGGCACAAACGGAGCAGCAGCAGAUUUUCACGGCGCAAGCGAGCAGCGAGCUGAAGAAAAAAAAACAAAAAAAAAAACUAUACUUCUAUAUCGAACGGUCGAUCUGCGCUGUGCCUGUGAAUAAUCAGCUAGAAACAAGUUUUAAAUAAACUAAAAAAAAAAACAACAAUUGUGCAAUUCUACUGCAGUGCGGUGGCAAAAAAAAACUGUUGUUUGACAAAAUCUGAUUUCGUGGUGCGGUGGUGAAGCGAUAGAUGAAAAAAAGGUGUGGAAAUAAUUUUUUAUAGGAAUUUCCGUGAUGCGCUGAAAAAGUGUGUUACCGAGUUAUAUGUAUAUACAUACAUACAUAUUUAUGCGUGCAUGUGUUUUUAUAAAAAUUUGCAUUAAAAUUUAUCUGCUUUGUGGUGAAAAAGCAGCUGAAAAGGGUGCGAAAAUUUGCGAUUGUAGAAUCCUUAAUGCAAAAUUGCGGAGCGGAAGAGUGAGUGAGUGUAAAAAGUGAAGUAACCUUUCAUGCAAACCGAUAAUGUGCGAAAAGUGACAGAAAAAACGACACAGGAAGUAAGCGAGAAUCGUUAGAGCUGAGCAGGAAGUGGAAGCGACAAACGUGUGAAAGCAGGCAAUGCGCCGAUAAAAAAAGAAGAUAGAAAACGAGAAAAGAGUCGACAGCAAGUAGUAUAAAAUAGGAGUGAAAGCCGUGCGGAAAGAAGAAGAAUAGUAAGAGAAUAAAUUGAAGAUAAAGUAGAAAGUCAGUAAAAGUAAAACGAAGAUGAAGUUUGUAGAAUAUAACGGUAAAGUGGUAGCGGAAAAUGAGUAGUGAGCAGCAGAAAUAGAAAAAAAGGAGUAGGUAACUGAAAGAAGAAAGCUAUUAGGAUACCAAAAGAGCCGAAAGUUGUAGGCUGGAAAAAAUCGACGUAAGUGGACAACCAGUGGUGGGAAUAUUAAAAAAAAAUAUAUAUCUAAGUUUAAAUAAAAAAAUAUAUUUAAAUCACGAAUAACAAAAAACGCCAAAAAAAAAAUCUCAACACAAAACUUGCCAUCUUAGCUACAGUAAAAGAAGAUAGGAAAAGGAGAAGCAGUAGAAAUUGCAAUUGAAAUCGCAAUAGAAAACGCCGAAGUCAAAACGAAGUCGCAACGGAGUAACACUUGAGUCGAGCCCAGCCACAGCAGCAUUUGCCAGUAAUGAUUAAUGACGCCUACUUUGUACACACGAUGCUCCGUCAAGCGCUCCGAACGAAAGGAUUGAAUUUUUGAAAUACGGACAACAUGGAUAAACGCUCAAGUGUAGAAAGAAUUUACUUAAGCAGUUGAUAAAGACAAACAACAUUCAAACAUAUAAAUCUACGAAAACUAAAAACAAAAAAAAAGCCAUCAACGUGAAAAAAAUUCGACAAACGCAGAGAAGCAGCAAUAAAUUAUGUACGAAAGGAAAUACACGAAUCGAUGAUAGCAAAAAGAAAAGAAUUAUUACAAAACCGUUCUACGCUUGUCUUCGCUAUACACAAAAUUAAAACGCUAAUCUCUUCAACCAAACUCCAGCUUAUUCCAAAAAAAAAACAACUACUUAGAGCUAUUAAACAAAUUCAGGGAGCGCCAUAAAUUGCGUGGAUAAGAAACUGAUCUUGCUCUGGCAACACUGGCACAGGUAUCUUCCGUACGCUUCCAAAGCCGCAGAAGAAAAAGUAAUAAAAAAACACAAAAGCUGCAUAAAGCUGAUUUCGCAACCGGAAAACUCGUAGGCAAAGCUACGAAAUUUGCUGGAAGAAAUUUUUUGAUAUGCAAAGCAGUUGAUCAAAAGGAUUUUCUUGACAACACAAAUAUUUACAUAUAAAAUAAAUAUUUAUAAUUAGCAGCUGAGCCACAAUUUAGUUCAUAAAUCGACUUUUUCCCAAGCGUAUUGGGCAAAGCAAUUUAAUAAUUGAGCAAGCAAUUAAAACAUUAACUAAGAAACUGCAGACAAAGAAACAAAAAAUAAAAAUAAAAAU